UGCAGCACACUGGAUUGCCAAAGCAAACAUUUUCAUGAGUACCUCCCCAUCUACUUUCUCUUCCAUUAGUGGAUCCACCAUAUCUACCACGGUUCCUUCGUUAUACUUUCUAAAGACCCAUCUAAGUGUAACCCGCUCAUCUGCAGGUCUCUUCAGCUCCACAGGACGGCGGCCUGUCAGAAUUUCUAGAAGUAAAAUCCCAAAUGAGUAUA
rnacentral:misc_RNA from 1 species